UUCAUGUGAAUUAUUACAGACGUUGAUGCUACUUCCAGGUUCAUCAAGAUGAUCUUCACUCAUUAACAACACUUUAAUGAUGUUUCCUUUCAGCAGAAGUAAGACACUAACUUUAAAGCUACUUGUGGUCCUGCAGCUCAUGCUAAUGAGGUAAAGAGGAAGGAAGCCCUGCUGGGGUUGAACAGCAGCUUAGUACCAACUCCAGAAGAGAGGAGCUGACCUCAGAGACAUCAGCCUCCUCUUUAGUGUAGACGUGUUGGUGGUGACUUAGUGAAUAAAGAGUUUCUGAUCUGAGGAGCAGCUAUGAGUUCAUCAGCCGGUGGAUUAGUCGUCUUCCUUCUCUCUGUACAAGUGAUACAGAGUCAGGAUGGAUGGGGAGUGACUUACCGUCAGACUGAGGUCUGUGCUGUAAAAGGAUCAAGAGUGGAAAUAAGAUGUGACUACACAUACCCAUCUGGAAUACGUUACAAUGAUAUAAAGGACAGAUUCUGGUUCACUAAAGUGAAACAUGGUGAACCUGUGGAUGUGAGAACAGACUCUGAGUAUUCAGGCCGUGUGGAGAACUAUUGUUACCCUUAUUGGAGGAGUAAGAGUUGCACUCUGACCAUCACAAACGUGAGAGAGAGCGACUCAGCUGAGUACAAAUUCAGAUUUGGGACAAACAAACCAAGAGAGAAAUAUACUGGAUCACCUGGAGUCACUUUGUCUGUUCCAGGUCUCCAGGUGCAGGUGAGCAGAUCAGAUUCUACCUGGUUGGAGCUGACGUGUCACAGCAGCUGUGAUCUGUCUCAUCAUCCUGGAUACUACUGGUCCAAGAAUGAAGAGUACAUCCAGACAGGAUCUUCUCUUCCAGUCUCCUCUGGUUCUACAGACAGAUAUUCCUGUUAUUUAAGAGAAUCUUCUGGUCAUCGUUCUCCUGCAGUGUGUAAGUUGACUCCAGUGUGUCGGCCUGUGGAGCUUCAACAACAUUUCAUAUGGAGACACCAGAGCGCUGCAUGUAAACUAGAGGCAUCAAAAAGAUGAAGCACCACAUUCCUCAGGAGGUGGAGCCGUGGUCCACUGACCAGAGGGUCGCUGGUUCAAUCCCCGGCCCCUGCAGUCUACGUGUAGAAGUGUCACUCACACACUGACACAACAAUAUGAUUCUAAUCACAGCUGUAAACACACUGGAGUCUAAAUGUUAAAGUACACACAGCUGCUUAUUGAUGUCAUUCUG